rnacentral:rRNA from 1 species
UAAUACGUAGGGCGCAAGCGUUGUCCGGAAUUAUUGGGCGUAAAGGGCGCGUAGGCGGCCUAUCAAGUGACGGGUGAAAUCCCUCGGCUUAACCGAGGAACUGCCUGUCAGACUGGAAGGCUUGAGACCGGGAGAGGUGAGUGGAAUUCCCAGUGUAGCGGUGAAAUGCGUAGAUAUUGGGAGGAACACCAGUGGCGAAGGCGGCUCACUGGACCGGAACUGACGCUGAGGCGCGAAAGCGUGGGGAGCAAACA